rnacentral:rRNA from 1 species
UACGUAGGGUGCGAGCGUUGUCCGGAAUUAUUGGGCGUAAAGGGCUCGUAGGCGGUCCAUCGCGUCGGGAGUGAAAAGCUGGGGCUUAACCCCAGUCCUGCUUUCGAUACGGGUGGACUAGAGGUAGGCAGGGGAGAAUGGAAUUCCUGGUGUAGCGGUGAAAUGCGUAGAUAUUGGGAGGAACACCGGUGGCGAAGGCGGCCCCCUGGACCGGUACUGACGCUGAGGCGCGAAAGCGUGGGGAGCGAACAGG